rnacentral:rRNA from 1 species
GACGAACGCUGGCGGCGUGCUUAACACAUGCAAGUCGAGCGGUAAGGCCCUUUCGGGGGUACACGAGCGGCGAACGGGUGAGUAACACGUGGGUGACCUGCCCUUAGCUCUGGGAUAAGCCUGGGAAACUGGGUCUAAUACCGGAUAUGACUCCAUGACGCAUGUUGUGGGGUGGAAAGCCUUGUGCGGCUAGGGAUGGGCCCGCGGCCUAUCAGCUUGUUGGUGGGGUGAUGGCCACCAAGGCGACGACGGUAGCCGGCCUGAGAGGGCGACCGGCCACACUGGGACUGAGACACGGCCCAGACUCCUACGGGAGGCAGCAGUGGGGAAUCUUGCGCAAUGGGCGAAAGCCUGACGCAGCGACGCCGCGUGGGGAUGACGGCCUCGG